UACGUAGGGGGCUAGCGUUGUCCGGAAUCAUUGGGCGUAAAGCGCACGUAGGCGGAUUGCUAAGUCAGGGGUGAAAUCCUGGAGCUCAACUCCAGAACUGCCUUUGAUACUGGCAACCUUGAGUCCGGGAGAGGUGAGUGGAACUGCGAGUGUAGAGGUGAAAUUCGUAGAUAUUCGCAAGAACACCAGUGGCGAAGGCGGCUCACUGGCCCGGUACUGACGCUGAGGUGCGAAAGCGUGGGGAGCAAACAGG
rnacentral:rRNA from 1 species